CAGAGGGUGCAAGCGUUAAUCGGAAUUACUGGGCGUAAAGCGUGCGUAGUCGGUUAUUUAAGUCGGAUGUGAAAUCCCCGGGCUCAACCUGGGAAUUGCAUUCGAUACUGGAUAGCUAGAGUUCGGCAGAGGGAAGCGGAAUUUCGGGUGUAGCGGUGAAAUGCGUAGAUAUCCGAAGGAACAUCAGUGGCGAAAGCGGCUUCCUGGACCAGAACUGACGAUCAGGCACGAAAGCGUGGGGAGCAAACAGGAUUAGAUACCCUGGUAGUCCACGCCAUAAACGAUGACAACUAGACGUUGGGAGGGUAAGCCUCACAGUGUCGCAGCUAACGCGUUAAGUUGUCCGCCUGGGGAGUACGGCCGCAAGGUUG
rnacentral:rRNA from 1 species